rnacentral:rRNA from 1 species
CCUACGGGCGGCAGCAGUGGGGAAUAUUGCACAAUGGGCGCAAGCCUGAUGCAGCCAUGCCGCGUGUGUGAAGAAGGCCUUCGGGUUGUAAAGCACUUUCAGCGGGGAGGAAGGCGGUGAGGUUAAUAACCUCAUCGAUUGACGUUACCCGCAGAAGAAGCACCGGCUAACUCCGUGCCAGCAGCCGCGGUAAUACGGAGGGUGCAAGCGUUAAUCGGAAUUACUGGGCGUAAAGCGCACGCAGGCGGUCUGUCAAGUCGGAUGUGAAAUCCCCGGGCUCAACCUGGGAACUGCAUUCGAAACUAGCAGGCUAGAGUCUUGCAGAGGGGGGUAGAAUUCCAGGUGUAGCGGUGAAAUGCGUAGAGAUCUGGAGGAAUACCGGUGGCGAAGGCGGCCCCCUGGACAAAGACUGACGCUCAGGUGCGAAAGCGUGGGGAGCAAACAGGAUUAGAUACCCGAGUAGUC